rnacentral:rRNA from 1 species
UAGGGAAUCUUCGGCAAUGGACGAAAGUCUGACCGAGCAACGCCGCGUGAGUGAAGAAGGUUUUCGGAUCGUAAAACUCUGUUGUUAGAGAAGAACAAGGACGUUAGUAACUGAACGUCCCCUGACGGUAUCUAACCAGAAAGCCACGGCUAACUACGUGCCAGCAUCCGCGGUAAUACGUAGGUGGCAAGCGUUGUCCGGAUUUAUUGGGCGUAAAGCGAGCGCAGGCGGUUUCUUAAGUCUGAUGUGAAAGCCCCCGGCUCAACCGGGGAGGGUCAUUGGAAACUGGGAGACUUGAGUGCAGAAGAGGAGAGUGGAAUUCCAUGUGUAGCGGUGAAAUGCGUAGAUAUAUGGAGGAACACCAGUGGCGAAGGCGGCUCUCUGGUCUGUAACUGACGCUGAGGCUCGAAAGCGUGGGGAGCAAACAGG